AUUGUAUCCACGAUUGGGGAAUUUUCCGCAAUGGGCGAAAGCCUGACGGAGCAAUACCGCGUGAGGGAGGAAGGCUCUUGGGUCGUAAACCUCUUUUCUCAAGGAAGAAGAUCUGACGGUACCUGAGGAAUCAGCAUCGGCUAACUCCGUGCCAGCAGCCGCGGUAAUACGGAGGAUGCAAGCGUUAUCCGGAAUGAUUGGGCGUAAAGCGUCCGUAGGUGGCUAUUCAAGUCUGCUGUUAAAGCGCAGGGCUUAACCCUGUAAAGGCGGUGGAAACUGGAGAGCUAGAGUGUGGUAGGGGUAGAGGGAAUUCCCGGUGUAGCGGUGAAAUGCGUAGAGAUCGGGAAGAACACCAGUGGCGAAAGCGCUCUACUGGGCCACAACUGACACUGAUGGACGAAAGCUAGGGGAGCGAAUGGGAUUAGAUACCCCAGUAGUCAAUCGUGGAUACAAU
rnacentral:rRNA from 1 species